UGGUUAUUCAAAGCUAUGAUAAGGAUAUGAAUAUUUGGGUUUCGGGACUUACUGGGGUGCGGUGAGCACUUCCUUCUCUGCUGAGAUUGUGCAUUCUGCUGAUGCAUACUUGUUUGCUGGCCCAAUCUUUAACGACUACAGUUCUGUUGGGUAUUCCCUUCUCCUUGUUGAGGAGAAGGUAGUCAUUGUGCAUCCUGAUCGUAUGAUAGUCGCUAAUGGUCCUAACAAAGGACUUCUUCAGGCACUUGCAAAGAGGCUUGACCGCAACACAACUGCAUUCAAAAACAACAGCCGCAUCCACAUUCCUGAUGGACUUCCCCUAAAAACCAGGCUAAGCAACCAUUGAGGGUCAAUGUUCGCUUUCAGCAUAUACAGAAUAUGCUCUCAAGUGACACUGCUGUGAUUGUUUAAACAAGAGACUCCUGGUUUAAUCGCCAGAAACUCAAAUUACCGGAAAGAUGUGGGUAUGAAUUCCAGAUGCAGUAUGGCUCAAUCGGUUGGUCAGUUGGUGCAACCAUCAGGACCAAAUAAGUGCGUCAUUGCUUGCAUUGGCGAUGGGAGUUUCCAGCCAAUAUGUUUUGGCCGAUAGAUGACAGCGCAAGAUGUCUAAACAAUGUUACAAUGUGGGCAAAAGAGCAUCAUCUUCCUAAUAAACAAUGGUGGAUACACCAUGGAAGUUAAAAAACCAUGAUGGGCCAUACAAUGUGAUCAAAAACUGGAACUACACUAGGACUGGGUUGGUGGAUGCACUCCACAAUGGUCAAGGAAAGUGCUGGACAACAAAGUUCAGCAUGUGUUUUAAAUAAUGCUCACAAGUUUGGCUUAGUUAAUGUUUGAAUGGUCACAUGGGAAGUCAUCUGACAUUGAGUCGUUGUGAAGAGGAGCUUAUUGAAGCAAUUGAAACAGCUAAUGGGGAGAAGAAGGAGCUAAUGGGGAGAAGAAGGACUGCCUCUGCUUCAUAGAAGUGAUUGUUCAUACCAGUAAAGAGUUGCUUGAAUGGGGUCCAGGGUCUCUGCAGCCAAUAGCCGCCCACCAAUUCCUCAGUGAGAGAACUAUGUUUCAGCUGAUUUAAGUUCUUUUUUUUUUUUUUUUUUUUUUUUUUUUUUUUUUCUUUUUUUUUGAGAAACUGCUGAUUUAAGUCUUGAAGUUAGAAUAAGAGCAUAUUAGGUAUUUUAACAUUUUGUCACAAACAAGUCUUUUAGGCUCUAGUACAAGUUUUCAUUUUACGGUUAGUUGAGGAUAGAUAAUAUAUGCUGAAAUGUUAUUGAAUGAAUGAGAUAGUGUAUGGUUAUUUCUCUAUUUUAAGCAUAUUCAAUGUGAGAACCGUUUGCAUAAUUUGUGUGGCUUUUUUUAAUUGGAAUUGAGAACACCUCUUUUUUUUCUUUUUUCUUUUUUGAGAAUCUAAUCAGAAUUGAGAACCUAAUUACAAUAAAGUCUUACAUUAGAGACUGU